UGGUGCAUGGUUGUCGUCAGCUCGUGUCGUGAGAUGUUGGGUUAAGUCCCGCAACGAGCGCAACCCUUGUCUUUAGUUGCCAUCAUUAAGUUGGGCACUCUAGAGAGACUGCCAGGGAUAACCUGGAGGAAGGUGGGGAUGACGUCAAAUCAUCAUGCCCCUUAUGCUUAGGGCUACACACGUGCUACAAUGGGUAGUACAGAGGGUUGCCAAGCCGUAAGGUGGAGCUAAUCCCUUAAAGCUACUCUCAGUUCGGAUUGUAGGCUGAAACUCGCCUACAUGAAGCUGGAGUUACUAGUAAUCGCAGAUCAGAAUGCUGCGGUGAAUGCGUUCCCGGGUCUUGUACACACCGCCCGUCACACCACGGGAGUUGGAGACGCCCGAAGCCGAUUAUCUAACCUUUUGGAAGAAGUCGUCGAAGGUGGAAUCAAUAACUGGGGUGAAGUCGUAACAAGGUAGCCGUAUCGGAAGG
rnacentral:rRNA from 1 species